UACAGAGGUCUCAAGCGUUGUUCGGAUUCAUUGGGCGUAAAGGGUGCGUAGGCGGCGCGGUAAGUCGGGUGUGAAAUCUCGGGGCUUAACUCCGAAACUGCAUUCGAUACUGCGUGGCUAGAGUGCUGGAGAGGAGACUGGAAUUUACGGUGUAGCAGUGAAAUGCGUAGAUAUCGUAAGGAAGACCAGUGGCGAAGGCGAGUCUCUGGACAGCAACUGACGCUGAGGCACGAAGGCCAGGGGAGCAAACGGG
rnacentral:rRNA from 1 species